AGCGUUAUCCGGAAUUAUUGGGCGUAAAGCGCGCGUAGGCGGUUUUUUAAGUCUGAUGUGAAAGCCCACGGCUCAACCGUGGAGGGUCAUUGGAAACUGGAAAACUUGAGUGCAGAAGAGGAAAGUGGAAUUCCAUGUGUAGCGGUGAAAUGCGCAGAGAUAUGGAGGAACACCAGUGGCGAAGGCGACUUUCUGGUCUGUAACUGACGCUGAUGUGCGAAAGCGUGGGGAUCAAACAGGAUUAGAUACCCUGGUAGUCCACGCCGUAAACGAUGAGUGCUAAGUGUUAGGGGGUUUCCGCCCCUUAGUGCUGCAGCUAACGCAUUAAGCACUCCGCCU
rnacentral:rRNA from 1 species